UACGUAGGGACCGAGCGUUGUCCGGAAUCAUUGGGCGUAAAGAGCGUGUAGGCGGCUAUUUAAGUCCUGCGUGAAAUCCUGCGGCUCAACCGCAGACGGUCGUGGGAAACUGGAUGGCUAGAGUGCGGGAGAGGAGAGUGGAAUUCCCGGUGUAGCGGUGAAAUGCGCAGAUAUCAGGAGGAACACCGGUGGCGAAGGCGGGUCUCUGGGCCGUAACUGACGCUGAGGAGCGAAAGCAUGGGGAGCGAACAGG
rnacentral:rRNA from 1 species